CCUACAUGAAGUCGGAAUUGCUAGUAAUCGCGGAUCAGCAUGCCGCGGUGAAUACGUUCCCGGGCCUUGUACACACCGCCCGUCACACCAUGGGAGUCGGUAACACCCGAAGCCUGUAGUCUAACCGCAAGGGGGACGCAGUCGAAGGUGGGAUUGAUGACUGGGGUGAAGUCGUAACAAGGUAGC
rnacentral:rRNA from 1 species